AGUAAGCUCAUAAACAGGUCGCUUAGGCAAAGCAUCACUCUUGUAUAUCCCCUCGGGCAAGCCUCUUAGUCACUCGUGACUCAACUCUUACCAAUCACCGCUCACACUCAGCACUUACACUCAAUAGGUACCAUAUAGUACCCGUCGCAGCGUGCAGUCCUAUCCACAUAUUGUUGCGGCGUGCAGCCCGAUCCAUAUAUAGUU
rnacentral:lncRNA from 1 species